rnacentral:rRNA from 1 species
ACAUGCAAGUCGAACGCUUUUUCUUUCACCGGAGCUUGCUCCACCGAAAGAAAAAGAGUGGCGAACGGGUGAGUAACACGUGGAUAACCUACCCUCAAGCGGGGGAUAACACUUGGAAACAGGUGCUAAUACCGCAUAACAAAGAAAACCGCAUGGUUUUCUUUUGAAAGGCGCUUUUGCGUCACUUGAGGAUGGAUCCGCGGUGCAUUAGCUAGUUGGUGAGGUAACGGCUCACCAAGGCAACGAUGCAUAGCCGACCUGAGAGGGUGAUCGGCCACAUUGGGACUGAGACACGGCCCAAACUCCUACGGGAGGCAGCAGUAGGGAAUCUUCGGCAAUGGACGAAAGUCUGACCGAGCAACGCCGCGUGAGUGAAGAAGGUUUUCGGAUCGUAAAACUCUGUUGUUAGAGAAGAACAAGGAUGAGAGUAAAAAGUUCAUCCCUUGACGGUAUCUAACCAGAAAGCCACGGCUAACUACGUGCCAGCAGCCGCGGUAAUACGUAGGUGGCAAGCGUUGUCCGGAUUUAUUGGGCGUAAAGCGAGCGCAGGCGGUUUCUUAAGUCUGAUGUGAAAGCCCCCGGCUCAACCGGGGAGGGUCAUUGGAAACUGGGAAACUUGAGUGCAGAAGAGGAGAGUGGAAUUCCAUGUGUAGCGGUGAAAUGCGUAGAUAUAUGGAGGAACACCAGUGGCGAAGGCGGCUCUCUGGUCUGUAACUGACGCUGAGGCUCGAAAGCGUGGGGAGCAAACAGGAUUAGAUACCCUGGUAGUCCACGCCGUAAACGAUGAGUGCUAAGUGUUGGAGGGUUUCCGCCCUUCAGUGCUGCAGCUAACGCAUUAAGCACUCCGCCUGGGGAGUACGACCGCAAGGUUGAAACUCAAAGGAAUUGACGGGGGCCCGCACAAGCGGUGGAGCAUGUGGUUUAAUUCGAAGCAACGCGAAGAACCUUACCAGGUCUUGACAUCCUUUGACCACUCUAGAGAUAGAGCUUCCCCUUCGGGGGCAAAGUGACAGGUGGUGCAUGGUUGUCGUCAGCUCGUGUCGUGAGAUGUUGGGUUAAGUCCCGCAACGAGCGCAACCCUUAUUGUUAGUUGCCAUCAUUUAGUUGGGCACUCUAGCAAGACUGCCGGUGACAAACCGGAGGAAGGUGGGGAUGACGUCAAAUCAUCAU